UACAGGGGGGGCAAGCGUUGUUCGGAAUUACUGGGCGUAAAGGGUCUGUAGGUGGCUUGCUAAGUCAGACGUGAAAUCCCUCAGCUUAACUGGGGAACUGCGUCUGAUACUGGCGGGCUUGAAUUCGGGAGAGGGAUGCGGAAUUCCAGGUGUAGCGGUGAAAUGCGUAGAUAUCUGGAGGAACACCGGUGGCGAAGGCGGCAUCCUGGACCGAGAUUGACGCUGAUGCGCGAAAGCCAGGGGAGCAAACGGG
rnacentral:rRNA from 1 species